CCGGACAAUCUGAGACACGGCCACGGCCCAGGAUCUGCAAGUUGGUCCAGCAUAGAGAUACUUCCCCUAAAUACACAGACUGAUCAUAAGACAUGUUAGGUACAUCUCAGUCAUUCACAAGAAAGUCAAAAGAUGCCAGCUGUCAUGCUCUGAGUUAGAGACUCUCCUCAUACGUGGAAAUGGGUGACCCGUGCCAGGUACAUCAGAAUCCUGAGGCCCAGUGUAGACCAGGCCAGCCAGGCAGCCACAUCUCAAACCCUGUGUUGUGUGGGUGCCCACUGGACACGCACAUGAAGAUCCCGCCAGAGCGCAAGUUUUCCUGCUCCAUCGUCACAUCCAGGACACAGCGCAGGAAGUUACAAGCUGUGGCUGCACGUCAUAAAGCCUUUGACAAAUUUCAUACCCUACUAUUUGUGUCAUCUGCACCUGGACUACAUUUGGUGACAUCAGUACAUACAGUCAAAGUAAAAACCUCCGACAUUUUGGCUAAAAGCAGCGGGGCCAGCCAAUCAUGGACCGAAGCUUCUGAAGCUGUGAGCCCAAAUCUGCCUUCCUGACUGUAAUUGGUUUUGUCAGGGAGUUUGUCACAGUCAUGGAAAGCUG
ensembl:lncRNA